UAGGGAAUCUUCGGCAAUGGGGGGAACCCUGACCGAGCAACGCCGCGUGAGUGAAGAAGGCUUUCGGAUCGUACAGCCCCCUUGUUAAGGAAGAACGAGUGUGAGAAUGGAAAGUUCAUACUGUGACGGUACUUAACCAGAAAGGGACGGCUAACUACGUGCCAGCAGCCGCGGUAAUACGUAGGUCCCGAGCGUUGUCCGGAUUUAUUGGGCGUAAAGCGAGCGCAGGCGGUUAGAUAAGUCUGAAGUUAAAGGCAGUGGCUCAACCAUCGUAGGCUUUGGAAACUGCUUAACUUGAGUGCAGAAGGGGAGAGUGGAAUUCCGUGUGUAGCGGUGAAAUGCGUAGAUAUAUAGAGGAACACCGGUGGCGGAAGCGGCUCUGUGGUCUAUAACUGACGCAGAGGCUCGAAAGCGUGGGGAGCGAACAGG
rnacentral:rRNA from 1 species